rnacentral:other from 1 species
AAUUCUCUGAGAUGCUCGUCAGCGGGUGAGUCCCCUGAGCCGAUAUUUCAAACACUUCGAAUGUGGAUAUCUGUUUAUGGUGUGCAUGCCUGGUCAGCUAAGGAGAACCCAGCCACCAGGAAGCCUAAAGUUAACGAUGCUACGUUCACCUUGAACCCCGGGUUCAAGGGUUACAGCCCGCAACGGCAUCUUGGAGGUCCU